CUUUUUUUGGGGCAUGGGCACACCUUGAUCCCACAUCCACCUCUUUACACCUGUGCAUUUAUAUGUAACUUGGGAUGAUGAUUAAGAUGUUGGAAACAAUGUUAUAAAAACUCCCUUAACUAUGAAUUUUUUAUACACCCAUAUAUAAAGUUAUAAAAUGGAUAAUGUUAAAACAUGUAAUAAUGCCAAUAUAUAUAUAACUUUCAACAACGGAUCUCUUGGCUCUCCCAUCCAUGAAAAACGCAACGAAAUGCGAAAAGUAAAGGGAAUUGCAAAAUUCAGUGAAUCAUCCAAUCUUUGAACGCACCUUGCGCUCCUUGGUAAUCCCAAGAACAUGCCUGGUUGAAUGUCAUGAAAUUUUCACCUGCCUUUUUUUUUGCU
rnacentral:misc_RNA from 1 species